AUUGAACGCUGGCGGCAUGCCUUACACAUGCAAGUCGAACGCGAAAGCGGGGGCAACCCUGCCGGUAGAGUGGCGAACGGGUGAGUAAUACAUCGGAACGUGCCCAGGAGUGGGGGAUAG
rnacentral:rRNA from 1 species